rnacentral:rRNA from 1 species
UACGAAGGGGGCUAGCGUUUGUUCGGAAUUACUGGGCGUAAAGCGCGCGCAGGCGGCUAUCCAAGUCAGUGGUGAAAGCCCGGAGCUCAACUCCGGAACUGCCAUUGAAACUGUUUAGCUUGAGGAUGAGAGAGGUGAGUGGAAUUCCCAGUGUAGAGGUGAAAUUCGUAGAUAUUGGGAAGAACACCGGUGGCAAAGGCGGCUCACUGGCUCAUUACUGACGCUCAGGCGGCGAUAGCGUGGGGAUCAAACAGG